rnacentral:rRNA from 2 species
CUACUCCGGUGGUUAGCGGCGGACGGGUGAGUAACACGUGGGCAACCUGCCUGUAAGACUGGGAUAACUUCGGGAAACCGGAGCUAAUACCGGAUAAUUUCUUCCCUCACAUGAGGGAAGGUUGAAAGUCGGUUUCGGCUGACACUUACAGAUGGGCCCGCGGCGCAUUAGCUAGUUGGUGAGGUAACGGCUCACCAAGGCGACGAUGCGUAGCCGACCUGAGAGGGUGAUCGGCCACACUGGGACUGAGACACGGCCCAGACUCCUACGGGAGGCAGCAGUAGGGAAUCUUCCACAAUGGACGAAAGUCUGAUGGAGCAACGCCGCGUGAGCGAUGAAGGCCUUCGGGUCGUAAAGCUCUGUUGUCAGGGAAGAACAAGUAUCGGAGUAACUGCCGGUACCUUGACGGUACCUGACCAGAAAGCCACGGCUAACUACGUGCCAGCAGCCGCGGUAAUACGUAGGUGGCAAGCGUUGUCCGGAAUUAUUGGGCGUAAAGCGCGCGCAGGCGGUCCUUUAAGUCUGAUGUGAAAGCCCACGGCUCAACCGUGGAGGGUCAUUGGAAACUGGGGGACUUGAGUGCAGAAGAGGAAAGCGGAAUUCCACGUGUAGCGGUGAAAUGCGUAGAGAUGUGGAGGAACACCAGUGGCGAAGGCGGCUUUCUGGUCUGUAACUGACGCUGAGGCGCGAAAGCGUGGGGAGCAAACAGGAUUAGAUACCCUGGUAGUCCACGCCGUAAACGAUGAGUGCUAAGUGUUAGAGGGUUUCCGCCCUUUAGUGCUGCAGCUAACGCAUUAAGCACUCCGCCUGGGGAGUACGGCCGCAAGGCUGAAACUCAAAGGAAUUGACGGGGGCCCGCACAAGCGGUGGAGCAUGUGGGUUUAAUUCGAAGCAACGCGAGAACCUUACCAGGUCUUGACAUCCUCUGACACUCCUAGAGAU